AGUGAACGCUGGCGGCGUGCCUAAUACAUGCAAGUCGAACGGAGUGGCGCACGGGUGAGUAAUAUAUAGCUAAUCUGCCCCUUGCUGGAGGACAACAGUUAGAAAUGACUGCUAAUACUCCAUAGCAAGGGAUGAGACUAUAUCGUAUCAGCUAGUCGGUGGGGUAACGGCCUACCGAGGCUAUGACGCGUAACUGGUCUGAGAGGAUGAUCCGUCAACAUUGAAACUAGACAACGGUCAAACCCCCAACGGAGGGAGCAGGAGGGAAAUAUGCGCAAUUGGGGAAACCCUGACGCAGCAACGCCGCGUGGAGGAUGACACUUUUCGGAGCGUAAACUCCUUUUGUUAGGGAAGCGGUACCUAACGAAUAAGCACCGGCUAACUCCGUGCCAGCCGCCGCGGUAAUAC
rnacentral:rRNA from 1 species